UAACUUUGACACAGGGGAGAUACCAUGAUCACCAAAGGGGUUUUCCCAGGGUGAGGCACAUCCAUUGCACUGUGGGUGUGUUGACUUCUGUGAUUUCCCCAAACGUGGGAAACUCAACUGCAGCCUUUGUGCUAGUGGGGGACUGCGUUCGCGCUUUCCCCUG